CUACGGGUCGCAGCAGUGAGGAAUAUUGCGCAAUGGGGGAAACCCUGACGCAGCGACGCCGCGUGGAUGAUGAAGGCCUUCGGGUCGUAAAAUCCUGUCAGAAGGAAAGAAGUGUAUGGUAGCUAAUAUCUGCCAUACUUGACGGUACCUUCAAAGGAAGCACCGGCUAGCUCCGUGCCAGCAGCCGCGGUAAUACGGAGGGUGCAAGCGUUGUUCGGAAUUACUGGGCGUAAAGCGCGCGUAGGCGGUUUUAUAAGUCAGAUGUGAAAGUCCACGGCUCAACCAUGGAAGUGCAUUUGGAACUGUAAGACUUUAGUAUUGGAGGGGGUAGUGGAAUUCCCGGUGUAGAGGUGAAAUUCGUAGAUAUCGGGAGGAAUACCGGUGGCGAAGGCGACUAUCUGGCCAAAUACUGACGCUGAGGUGCGAAAGCGUGGGGAGCAAACAGGAUUAGAUACCCCGGUAGUC
rnacentral:rRNA from 1 species